CACGUAGGGUGCGAGCGUUAUCCGGAAUGAUUGGGCGUAAAGCGUCCGCAGGUGGCUUUGUAAGUCUGCCGUUAAAGAGUGAGGCUCAACCUCAUAAGAGCAGUGGAAACUACAAGGCUAGAGUACGUUCGGGGCAGAGGGAAUUCCUGGUGUAGCGGUGAAAUGCGUAGAGAUCAGGAAGAACACCGGUGGCGAAAGCGCUCUGCUAGGCCGUAACUGACACUGAGGGACGAAAGCUAGGGGAGCGAAUGGG
rnacentral:rRNA from 1 species